ensembl:miRNA dre-mir-135a microRNA 135a
ACAGCUGUCGUGUCUUAUGGCUUUUUAUUCCUAUGUGAAGGUGAACAAGGCUCAUGUAGGGAUACAAGCCACUAAACACGCAGUCAGAAAUCAGCUUU